rnacentral:rRNA from 1 species
AUUGAACGCUGGCGGCAGGCCUAACACAUGCAAGUCGAGUGAGCGGCGGACGGGUGAGUAAUGUCCGGGAAACUGCCUGAUGGCGGGGGAUAACUCCUGGAAACGGUAGCUAAUACCGCAUACCCUCAGAUGUGCCCCGAUGGGAUUCGCUAGUAGGUGGGGUAAUGGCUCACCUAGGCGACGAUCCCUAGCUGGUCUGUUAGGAUGACCGGCGACAAUGGAACUGAGACACGGUGCAGACUCCGACGGGAGGAGGGAGGGGGGAAUAUUGCACAAGGGGCGCAAGCCUGAUGCAGCCAUGCCGCGGGUGUGAAGAAGGCCUGCGGGUUGUAAAGCACUUUCAGCGGGGAGGCGUUACCCGCAGAAGAAGCACCGGCUAGCUCCGUGCCAGCAGCCGGGGGAAUAC